CCUAUGGGGUGCANCAGGCGAGAAAACUUUGCAAUGUGCGAAAGCACGACAAGGUUAAUCCGAGUGGUUUCUGCUAAAGGAACCUUUUGUNAGUCCUAGAANCANUUAGUUGANGAAGGGGNGGGCAAUAAUGUGGU
rnacentral:rRNA from 1 species